rnacentral:lncRNA from 1 species
CCCGCGCCCGCCCGCCGGCCCGCGUGCUGCAGCCGCCGCGGCCCGGGCGGGGCCGGGGGUGGGGGUGGGUUCGCUGGUUUGGAGGGUGGGUGGGGUUGGCUGUUUCUGGAAAGCUCAGCGGAGCUAAUCUAAUCUUCCAAGGCGCGUCCGCUGCCCGAGAGCAGCGCUCACAGUCCGCAGCGCCGGGAGGGCUCCGCGGCCUCCCCCUCCCGGCUCAGUAGAUCCAGAUCGUGUGAGUCUCUUUUAUUCCCGUUUUGCACGUGAGGCCACGGAGGCCGGGAUAGACCAGGAUCGCACACGUCUUGGGGGCCUACUCCGGACUCAAACCUACGUCUCUGUGACUCCAAAACUCAUAUUAUACUAUGACCUAGUAUUUGCUGGUGUAAGACGAAUGGUUCCGUUUUAGCGCAGAUGCAAGCGCCACCUUAUUUGGAGGACAGGCAGGUAGAUCUGCAGCUGUAAAACCCGAGGCCCCGAGGCGGGCUUGCACAGCUCCCCUGGCUCUCCGUCCACGUCCACGUCUCUGCUGUCCACUGCUCCUAGAGCACCUUUCGACUCUUGGAAACAGGAACUGCCAGUUAAAAAGAAUACUACCUAUUUUAUUGAGCCUGAAGGGUUGAGGACAUCACAGACCAGAGGACGAGGCCCGGAGGGAUGGGACUUUGUCUGCUGCCCUCUCGCAUCCCGACUGGUACACCUCAGUGAACAAUCUGUAAUGGACACAGUGCAUACAGCAAGGCCCUACUGCAAACCUGUGGACGCAAAGCCUCUGAGAACCUCUCAGACACGGAAGGGGCCACAAGGCUU